rnacentral:rRNA from 4 species
AGACCCGAAACCCGGUGAUCUAGCCAUGGGCAGGUUGAAGGUUGGGUAACACUAACUGGAGGACCGAACCGACUAAUGUUGAAAAAUUAGCGGAUGACCUGUGGCUGGGGGUGAAAGGCCAAUCAAACCGGGAGAUAGCUGGUUCUCCCCGAAAGCUAUUUAGGUAGCGCCUCGUGAAUUCAUCUCCGGGGGUAGAGCACUGUUUCGGCUAGGGGGCCAUCCCGGCUUACCAACCCGAUGCAAACUGCGAAUACCGGAGAAUGUUAUCACGGGAGACACACGGCGGGUGCUAACGUCCGUCGUGAAGAGGGAAACAACCCAGACCGCCAGCUAAGGUCCCAAAGUCAUGGUUAAGUGGGAAACGAUGUGGGAAGGCCCAGACAGCCAGGAUGUUGGCUUAGAAGCAGCCAUCAUUUAAAGAAAGCGUAAUAGCUCACUGGUCGAGUCGGCCUGCGCGGAAGAUGUAACGGGGCUAAACCAUGCACCGAAGCUGCGGCAGCGACACUGUGUGUUGUUGGGUAGGGGAGCGUUC